ACCCAGCUGACGAGUUCAAAAUAGGACGAAACACGCGUCCUGAAC
rfam:Schistosoma haematobium scaffold145_3, whole genome shotgun sequence.